rnacentral:rRNA from 1 species
AGGGUUGGGCUGUUCGCCCAUUAAAGUGGUACGCGAGCUGGGUUCAGAACGUCGUGAGACAGUUCGGUCCCUAUCCGUCGCAGGCGUAGGAAAUUUGAGAAGACCUGUCCUUAGUACGAGAGGACCGGGAUGGACGUACCUCUGGUGUACCAGUUGUUCUGCCAAGGGCAUGGCUGGGUAGCUAUGUACGGAAUGGAUAAGCGCUGAAAGCAUCUAAGCGCGAAGCCAACUUCAAGAUAAGAUUUCCCACCGCAAGGGUAAGACCCCAGAAAGACUAUCUGGUUGAUAGGUCGAAGGUGUAAGUGCAGCAAUGUAUUUAGCUUAUCGAUACUAAUAGGUCGAGGACUUGACCAAU